UCAACCCGAAAGGGACUGUUGGAAAGGGGGGCCGCGGGGGGUUGUGGCUGGGGAGGGGGGAUGGGAGAGGUUAAUCCUUCCUGACCAACUGCGGCCGGAGAGACAGACAAGGGGCGUUCUUCUUCAGGAGACAAAGCAGGGUGUUCUUGAGGGGGCUUGGGGCACUUCUGGCUUCCACUUUCAAGAGAGAUGAUGGAAGAUACCAAUUCUACUUUGGGCACCUGAAGGAAAAGACUAUGAAAACUCUGACAUGAGAGCAGCUGGCAAUCUCCAUCAUUUCUGUAUCUCCAACUAGAGACUUUAAGGAACUUCCCCUUGGGAAGUUUCUACAAUAAGGGGUCCUGGCACCAGUGAAAUCAUCAGAGGACCAAGUCGUUCAUCUGAGACUUUCCCCCAGAUGGAAGCAUAUCUUCAAGGAAGAUCUUGAUGGCAGGGAAGUUUUUGCUGGGUGAUGAAGGGAGCAGUUUCUGAUACUUGCUGGAUCUGCAAAAAAGUCCCAGUUUUUUCCCUGGAAAUGACAGUCUAGGACAACUCAAUUAUUUUUAAAUGCCUGGGCAUUGUGCUAAGGUGCUAGAAAAUGAUCUAGUGGGGAGGGCACUUGAGUAUUCAACAAGGCCAUCUCCCCAUCUGCCUGUUGCCACUGACUAACCUACUUGUCCUCACCUAGAUCAGCACCUUCUACAGUAGAUCUGAGACCUGGACCUCCAUACCACAGCCUUCCCAAAUACAUUCCCAGACCCUGAGGAAAUUAAUCCACUCAUGUUUGGAACUCCUGUUUUAGGUCCCAAACCAGAGGAUCAGUAAUGGACCAUGUGCAAGCUAGCUUAUUUCUAUCACUCUAUUUACAGCUCACCCUAGACACUAGACCAUGUCUCAGUUUCACAUCCCAUCUAGCCAUUGACCAUCUCACCAUCUGCCGAUUUUGAUUUCCAUCUCAUCAGAACAAAACUCCCAACCCUAGACAACUCUCUUCUAUUAAAAUAUAAAGUCCUUGAA